UUCCGGUUGAUCCUGCCGGAGGCCAUUGCUAUCGGAGUUCGAUUUAGCCAUGCUAGUCGCACGGGUUUAGACCCGUGGCGAAAAGCUCAGUAACACGUGGCCAAACUACCCUAUGGAUCGGAAUAACCUCGGGAAACUGAGGUCAAUUCCGAAUACCGCUCCUGCACUGGGAUGUGCGGAGCACGAAACGCUUCGGCGCCAUAGGAUGUGGCUGCGGCCGAUUAGGUUGACGGUGGGGUAACGGCCCACCGUGCCCAUAAUCGGUACGGGUUGUGAGAGCAAGAGCCCGGAGACGGUAUCUGAGACAAGAUACCGGGCCCUACGGGGCGCAGCAGGCGCGAAACCUUUACACUGCACGACAGUGCGAUAAGGGAACUCCGAGUGCGAGGGCAUAGAGCCCUCGCUUUUGUACACCGUAAGGUGGUGCACGAAUAAGGGCUGGGCAAGACCGGUGCCAGCCGCCGCGGUAAUACCGGCAGCCCAAGUGAUGGCCGAUAUUAUUGGGCCUAAAGCGUCCGUAGCUGGCCGGACAAGUCCGUUGGGAAAUCCGCGUGCUUAACGCGCGGGCGUCCAGCGGAAACUGUCCGGCUUGGGGCCGGAAGACCUGAGGGGUACGUCCGGGGUAGGAGUGAAAUCCCGUAAUCUCGGACGGACCGCCUGUGGCGAAAGCGCCUCAGGAAGACGGACCCGACAGUGAGGGACGAAAGCCAGGGUCUCGAACCGGAUUAGAUACCCGGGUAGUCCUGGCUGUAAACGAUGUCCGCUAGGUGUGACGCAGGCUACGAGCCUGCGCUGUGCCGUAGGGAAGCCGUGAAGCGGACCGCC
rnacentral:rRNA from 1 species